rnacentral:misc_RNA from 1 species
AUACCCAAGGUUGUUACAUGGUAUCAAAGCCACCAUCGCCCUUUAUGUCCGUCGUGCCUUGGAGAGUGACACUGGUAUUGCGGUGUUUGUCUGGGGCUACUAAUGUCUAGCAUACAGCCAUCGAGGACGAUGGAUGCAGAGCUUGGUGGUUUGUUAUGGUCCAGUCUCACAGCUAUACUACUACGUGCUGAGGUGGAGUUUUCAGCCUUUGGCUCUCCCACCUCAAUAGCUAG